CAUCUUCCGAAUAAACUGAUAAAAUUGUUGCAAGUAUCUAAUACUCAUUCAUAGUCAGCGUCGGCAUUUUCUUAAACUCGUUUACAAUCAUUUCUUCUGAAUUCAUCUAAUUUCUUCUGAACUCAUUUCAUCUUUCUUUUCUUCAUUCUUACUACACUCAUAUCCCGUUUCACUCACAACUCACUUCUUCACAAUAUCACUCACUCUCUUUCGCUACUUCUUUUCUCUCUCUCACUUUUCCAUUUCUUGUCACCUCGUUCCUUGUUACCUACCCUUGUUGCCUCUAACUUUUACCUUUUCUCUAUUCUAU